rnacentral:lncRNA from 1 species
AUGCUCAAAAUUCUCCAAGCCAGGCUUCAGCAAUAUGUGAACCAUGAACUUCCUGAUGUUCAAGCUGGUUUUAGAAAAGGCAGAGGAACCAGAUAUCAAAUUGUCAACAUCUGUUGGAUCAUCAAAAAAGCAAGAGAGUUCCAGAAAAACAUCUAUUUCUGCUUUAUUGACUAUGCCGAAGCCUUUGACUGUGUGGAUCACAAUAAACUGUGGAAAAUUCUUCAAGAGAUGGGAAUACCAGAGCACCUGACCUGCCUCUUGAGAAACCUACAUGCAGGUCAGGAAACAACAGUUAGAACUGGACAUGGAACAACAGACUGGUUCCAAAUAGGGAAAGGAGUACGUCAAGGCUGUAUAUUGUCACCCUGCUUAUUUAACUUCUAUACAGAGUACAUCAUGAGAAACGCUGGACUGGAAGAAACACAAGCUGGAAUCAAGAUUGCCGGCAGAAAUAUCAAUAACCUCAGAUAUGCAGAUGACACCGCCCUGAUGGCAGAAGGUGAAGAGGAACUAAAAAGCCUCUUGCUGAAAGUGAAAGAGGAGAGUGAAAAAGUUGGCUUAAAACUCAGCAUUCAGAAAAUGAAGAUCAUGGCAUCCGGUCCCAUCACUUCAUGGGAAAUAGAUGGAGAAACAGUGGAAACAGUGUCAGACUUUAUUUUGGGGGGCUCCAAAAUCACUGCAGAUGGUGACUGCAGCCAUGAAGUUAAAAGACACUUACUCUUUGGAAGGAAAGUUAUGACCAACUUAGACAGCAUAUUAAAAAGCAGAGACAUGACUUUGCUGACUAAGGUCCAUCUAGUCAAAGCUAUGGUUUUUCCAGUGGUCAUGUAUGGAUGUGAGACUUGGACUAUGAAGAAAGCUGAGCACCAAAGAAUUGAUGCUUUUGAACUGUGGUGUUGGAGAAGACUCUUGAGAGUCCCUUGGACUGCAAGGAGAUCCAACCAGUCCAUUCUAAAGGAGAUCAGUCCUGGGUGUUCAUUCGAAGGACUGAUGCUAAAGCUGAAACUCUAA